rnacentral:rRNA from 1 species
UACGAAGGGGGCUAGCGUUGCUCGGAAUCACUGGGCGUAAAGCGCACGUAGGCGGAUUGUUAAGUCAGGGGUGAAAUCCUGGAGCUCAACUCCAGAACUGCCUUUGAUACUGGCGAGCUUAGUCCGGAAGAGGUGAGUGGAACUCCCGAGUGUAGAGGUGAAAUUCGUAGAUAUCGGAAGAACACCAGUGGCGAAGGGCGGCUCACUGGUC